GUGUAAAAGCUAAGCUUUGCAAAAUCCACCACCACGUUCAGAACAUGUGCAGCCAGCCCUACAGUAAACUACAAUUAAUCAUUUAACAACAAGUCUACUUUCUUUGUAUUGUAAUCCACUAAUGUGACAAGAUUAGCAUUUGAAAUAUGAAAUAUAACUUCAGAAAUAUCAAUUUAAAUGAAAUAGCAGAGAAUCCAAACAAACAUGAAAUAACAGAGAAUCCAAACCAACAAAGAUCAUGUAUUUUUCAUGAAAUUAAGAAGAGUAAUGAAAGUUCCCAAAUCACAAAAACUUUAAAUUACCUUUCUUUGAUAUAGAGACCUUAACCAAAUAGAUCAGAAUCAUCGAGAAUUGCUCAAUCAAUCAAAACACUAGCACAGAAUUACAAACAAAAAUUAAACUGCAUCCAUAACAAAGAUUGCAAAGAAAUAAAGUUCAAAUUUAAACUGCAUCCAUAACAAAGAAUCACAAAGGUUUACCUUCGUUGUGUGGUGAAUGUUGAGAAAAAGACGAGUGGUUGAACAAAAUUCCUUAUGGAAACGAUGAGCGAUUGACGAAAUUGAAAAAUCUGCAGAGAGAAAAAGAUGAGUGGCGCAGCAAUUUGUGAUGAAAAAGAAAAAGAGAGAGAAUUAGGGUUCUUCUAGGCGCGAACCUAAAUUCCUUAGAAACGG
rnacentral:lncRNA from 1 species